CAGCCGCCGCGGUAAUACGUAGGGUGCGAGCGUUAAUCGGAAUUACUGGGCGUAAAGCGGGCGCAGACGGUUACUUAAGCAGGAUGUGAAAUCCCCGGGCUCAACCUGGGAACUGCGUCCUGAACUGGGUGACUAGAGUGUGUCAGAGGGAGGUAGAAUUCCACGUGUAGCAGUGAAAUGCGUAGAGAUGUGGAGGAAUACCGAUGGCGAAGGCAGCCUCCUGGGAUAACACUGACGUUCAUGCCCGAAAGCGUGGGUAGCAAACAGGAUUAGAUACCCCUGUAGUCCCUGUCUCUUAACC
rnacentral:rRNA from 1 species